CGUUUAUUUCUGUGAACAAAGAAAUAUAAAUGAAAUUCUCAAUCACACAAACAGACCUUGAUUGGCAGAACUGACUGAGGUAUCCCCGAGGGAUUCAAACUGCUUCAGGAUCAUCCUACACAGAUCUUGAUUGGUAGAACUGACUGAUGUAUCCCCGAGGGACUCAAAUUGCUUCAGAAUCAACCUACACAGAUCUUGAUUGGUAGAACUGACUGAGGUAUCCCCGACGGACUCAAAUUGCUUCAGAAUCAUCCUACACAGAUCAUGACUGGUAGAACUGACUGAGGUAUCCCCGAGAGACUCAAUUUGCUUCAGAAUCAUCCUCCACCGAUCUGGAUUGGUAGAACUGCAUGAGGUAUCCCCGAGAGACUCAAAUAGCUUCAGAAUCAUCCUACACAGAUCUUGAUUGGUAAAACUGACUGAGGUAUCCCGGAGAGACUCAAAUUGCUUCAGAAUCACCCUACUGCACAAUAUAUAUAUAUAUAUAUAAAGGUAAAUAAAAUA
rnacentral:lncRNA from 1 species